AGAGCCAUAGCUCAGAGGCAGAGAAUUUGCUUCGCAUGCAAAAGGUUCCAGGUUCAAUCCCUGGCAUCUCUA